rnacentral:lncRNA from 1 species
GAGAUGAGAUUUGUUUUUUUAAUUUCCAAAAAACGGUGGCUGCCUACCUCACUGGAAUGUAAUACUGGAAGAUCUGGCCCUGAACAGUUCGAUUACCUUCCUUUCACAUGUACAGUGCACUAAGUUCUGCGGCUUUAGGGCUGGCUGCUUUCUGAGGGUUUGCCCUUCCGUCACCUAAAGGGGAUUCUCAGUCAUUAAGUGGAAUGUACGAACUACUGUCAUGAAGCCAUUUUUUGUUUUUUGUUUUUGUUUUUUUUUGAUUUGUUUGUCUUCCAAGAUGAUGGCGAAGCGUGGGGCAAAUAGGAAUGAAAGCAUCUUACUAAUAGUUGCUGAUCGGCAGGUAGGUGGCCAAGGGGGAAGUGCAUUUCUUCUGGGCCUGCUGUCAGGGGGAGACCUGGCUUCCUGAUGGGAGCAUGGUAUGCUUCCCCGCCAAAGCCUCCUUAUUUGGGGGUUCUCCCCAGAGACAGAGAAGAACAUUUAGGGGAAGCAUGAGCUCAGAAGCCAACACCGCGCCUGCUUUAACACUUUUCCCCCAUUCGACCUUUCCCUUUCCUCCCAGAACUAUUGAGAUUUGUAAUAGGUGCCAGAGUCCCUUCACACACAUUUUUUGGACAAAGUGCGUGUGUAAACCAUAGCUCUAAGUACCCAGCUUCUUUCCUGCUUCGUGCCCCCCCCCCAUCUCUCUAUCUCCCCUUGGCACUUCGUCGCUGCGUGUGGUGAACCACCCAGCUAACCGUUUGCCUCUUCUCGGUCCUCUCGCUGUCCCUGCCUUAUCAUUGAGUGAGCGGCUCGGGGGAACGAGUCUGCCCCCUUCCAGCUAUCCUCCCAGAUUAGCUCCGAGGCUCAAUUAGUGCUUCGGAUGCACUUUGAUCUGCUCUGAUGAAAGGUGCUUCCGAAGAAAGAAGCAAUAGGAGCCUUUAUUGGAGGUAAUAAUUUCAUAUUCUUUCAUAUGGCUAUUGGGAAACUUUUAAUUGAAGCAUAAAAGUAAUUCCUCACUAUCUAAUCCUCUAAUCUCUCAUCUAUAGUAAAUACUACCUUUCUCUAUCUCUAAACUACCGUUUUUUCAUGUGAGUAAAAAAAGUUUUUAAAAACAAUCAAUUGAAAGCUUUUAAGAGGGCAGAGUGCCAAAGGCAAGCACAUGUGCACAGUGGCACCACCACCCCCCCCACCUCUGUCAGGGGGGGGCAGAACCUCCCCCCAGGAGCCAUGUAUGCAACGAUGGACGAGACCAGCUAGCUUCUCUGCCGCCUGUCUUUAUCAUGAGUAAAGAUUGUGCUUACACCACCAUCAGAGAGCCCGGGCCUUUACAUCCACGUGGGUUUUAGGAGGGGAAAUAAAACAGCUUGUUUGUGGCAUCCAGUGUCUCCGGCAUAAAAGUCAUGUUGGAAUUAAAAUUCACCAGUGGGUGUUAGAUGAGGGGAAAUAAACAGAACAGCUUGUUUGGUGCAAUCCCAGUGUCUCCCGC